rnacentral:rRNA from 1 species
AUUGAACGCUGGCGGCAGGCUUAACCCAUGCCAGUCGCGCGCGCGGCGGACGGGUGUGUUAUGUCUGGGAAACUGCCUGCUGGUGGGGGAUCACUACUGGAAACUGUAGCUAAUACCGCAUACCCUCAGAUGUGCCCAGAUUGGAUUCGAUAGUAGGUGGGGUAAUGGCUCACCUAGGCGACGAUCCCUAGCUGGUCUGAGAGGAUGACCAGCCACACUGGAACGGAGACACGGUCCAGACUCCUACGUGAGGCAGCAGUGGGGAAUAGUGCACAAGGGGCGCAAGCCUGAUGCGGCCAUGCCGCGUGUGUGAAGAAGGCCUUCGGGUUGUAAAGCACUUUCAGCGAGGAGGCGUUACUCGCAGAAGAAGCACCGGCUAACUCCGUGCCAGCAGCCGCGGUAAUUC